rnacentral:rRNA from 1 species
UACGGAAGGUCCGGGCGUUAUCCGGAUUUAUUGGGUUUAAAGGGAGCGUAGGCCGGAGAUUAAGCGUGUUGUGAAAUGUAGACGCUCAACGUCUGCACUGCAGCGCGAACUGGUUUCCUUGAGUACGCACAUAGUGGGCGGAAUUCGUGGUGUAGCGGUGAAAUGCUUAGAUAUCACGAAGAACUCCGAUUGCGAAGGCAGCUCACUGGAGCGCAACUGACGCUGAAGCUCGAAAGUGCGGGUAUCGAACAGG